AGAGUUUGAUCCUGGCUCAGGACGAACGCUGGCGGCGUGCCUAACACAUGCAAGUCGAACGAGGUCCAUCCAGUGGCAACACUGGUGAAGACCUAGUGGCGAACGGGUGAGUAACACGUGAGGAACCUGCCCCGAAGACCGGGAUAACCCUCCGAAAGGAGAGCUAAUACCGGAUACCCCCACUGAACCGCAUGGUUCGGUGAGGAAAUGGAUUCCGCUUCGGGAGGGCCUCGCGGCCUAUCAGCUAGUUGGUGGGGUAACGGCCUACCAAGGCAUCGACGGGUAGCUGGUCUGAGAGGACGAUCAGCCACACUGGGACUGAGACACGGCCCAGACUCCUACGGGAGGCAGCAGUGGGGAAUCUUGCGCAAUGGGCGAAAGCCUGACGCAGCAACGCCGCGUGGGGGAUGAAGGCUCUCGGGUUGUAAACCCCUUUCAGUGGGGACGAAUCAAGACGGUACCCACAGAAGAAGCCCCGGCUAACUACGUGCCAGCAGCCGCGGUAACACGUAGGGGGCAAGCGUUGUCCGGAUUUAUUGGGCGUAAAGAGCUCGUAGGCGGUUCGGUAAGUCAGGCGUUAAAUCCUCAGGCUCAACCUGGGGCCCCGCCUGAUACUGCUGUGACUAGAGUCCGGUAGGGGAGCGUGGAAUUCCUGGUGUAGCGGUGAAAUGCGCAGAUAUCAGGAGGAACACCAGCGGCGAAGGCGGCGCUCUGGGCCGGUACUGACGCUGAGGAGCGAAAGCGUGGGUAGCAAACAGGAUUAGAUACCCUAGUAGUCC
rnacentral:rRNA from 1 species